AAAUGUAAGACUGAGAAAUUGUGGAUGU
rnacentral:piRNA from 1 species